AACGAACGCUGGCGGCGCGUCUUAAGCAUGCAAGUCGAGCGGCAAGGGGAGCAAUCCCCCUAGAGCGGCGGACUGGUGAGUAACACGUGGGUGAUCUACCUUUAGGUUGGGGAUAGCCUGUGGAAACACAGGGUAAUACCGAAUGUGGUUGCGUGACUGAGGUUACGUAAAGAAAGGAGCUACGGCUCCGCCUUGAGAUGAGCCCGCGGCCCAUUAGCUAGUUGGGGGUGUAACGGACCACCAAGGCGAUGAUGGGUAGCCGGCCUGAGAGGGUGAACGGCCACACUGGGACUGAGAUACGGCCCAGACUCCUACGGGUGGCUG
rnacentral:rRNA from 1 species